GAGUUUGAUCGUGGCUCAGGAUGAACGCUGGCGGCGUGCCUAAUACAUGCAAGUCGAGCGAACAGACGAGGAGCUUGCUCCUCUGACGUUAGCGGCGGACGGGUGAGUAACACGUGGAUAACCUACCUAUAAGACUGGGAUAACUUCGGGAAACCGGAGCUAAUACCGGAUAAUAUAUUGAACCGCAUGGUUCAAUAGUGGAAGACGGUUUUGCUGUCACUUAUAGAUGGAUCCGCGCCGCAUUAGCUAGUUGGUAAAGUAACGGCUUACCAAGGCAACGAUGGCGUAGCCGACCUGAGAGGGUGAUCGGCCACACUGGAACUGAGACACGGUCCAGACUCCUACGGGAGGCAGCAGUAGGGAAUCUUCCGCAAUGGGCGAAAGCCUGACGGAGCAACGCCGCGUGAGUGAUGAAGGUCUUCGGAUCGUAAAACUCUGUUAUUAGGGAAGACAAAUGUGUAAGUAACUAUGCACGUCUUGACGGUACCUAAUCAGAAAGCCACGGCUAACUACGUGCCAG
rnacentral:rRNA from 1 species